ACCUCCACAUGUGACAGCAGCAGUCGCUGUUUAACCCACAGAUGUGCCAGGUGACAGUCAGGACAGGACACUUGGAGGAGACUGUGAUCCAGCAGCAGUGAGAGGGAAGAGCCAUUCCCUCCUCCUUGCAUGACAAAAUUUUCUUUUCCUUACACCAUGUAAGAAAUCCUCUGCCUCAUCCUCAACGAGGACCACAUCCAAAGGGAAUCCAGCCCAACCAUGCAGUUGGACCUCCCCACUGGCACCAGAGUAAUCUCCCUGAAUCAGAGACAGAACUGGACAUCAACUGCUCUUUACAGCUCGAACCUGCUGCUCCUGCUCUGACAAGGACUGCCAUGACUGAGGAUCUCCAUCACUUCUGCCUCUCUUCCUGGUCCAGCCGUGCACCCAUAGACCUGCUGCAGAGCAAAAGCCAUUGCUUUCUGGCACUAAGCUGCUUCCUGAAGAUUGCACAGCAAGACAGAUCAACUUCGAGGGGAGCUGAUCCAGGAGAGGACAUGGGGCCAAAAGAGCCUGAGGAGUCUGAAGAUGCAGCUUUAUCAGCUUAGCAAAAGGGCUGGUGCAUCGAAUGGCAAAGGCUGCAGGCCCUGUGUGCUUGAGGUCUGUGACAGAAGGCUCUGCACUAUUCCCACCACAGCCCAGACGCCCAUGGAAGGAUUAUUCCCCCAGCACCUCCCAACCCCCUGGUGCCAGCAGUCCCCCUGGAAUCCAUGCCUCUUUAUAAGGGGAAACGAGGGAAUCUAUGGUGAGCAUCCUUACCCUCACCUCCUGCCUCUCCAAGCCCUUCCUGUUGCUGGCACUUCCACCCUCAGCAGCGGCUGUGCAGGAUCACGUCCCAGAGAGUCUGGCACGUCGUGUCGGGUGCAGAGGCAGGAGCUGACGGGUGUGAUGU